AUGAUGCCGCCGCCGCCGCCGCCGCCGUCCGAUCAAAGUAGGCUCAUCGUCGUCCGCUUGGUCGUCGCCUUUGCGGCCUUCCUGUUCGCGUUUUUCCUGUGCGGCUGCUGCAAGGGAUAUCGAAACAGCCAGGCUCGGGCUGCGGCAGCUCAGCCGCGGCUGCUCCGAGAUCUGCCGCUUCGCGGGGCCUGCGCGGCCAAGCCGACGGCCCGCCUCCCGGCGUUCAAGUACAACGGGUCGGUGAAGCACAACGUGACGGGCGGAGGGGAGGAGGCAGCCACGUGCUCGGUGUGCCUCGGCGCGUUCCAGCUCGGGGAGACGGUGCGGCUGCUGCCGGCGUGCCUGCACCUGUACCACGUGGAGUGCAUCGACCCGUGGCUGGACGCGCACUCGACGUGCCCGAUCUGCCGCUCGGACGCCGACCCGACAACGGGCGUCGGCCGGCUACCCCCUGUUUAG
rnacentral:rRNA from 1 species